AUUGAACGCUGGCGGCAUGCUUUACACAUGCAAGUCGAACGGUAACAGGCCGCAAGGUGCUGACGAGUGGCGAACGGGUGAGUAAUGCAUCGGAACGUGCCCAGUCGUGGGGGAUAACGCAGCGAAAGCUGCGCUAAUACCGCAUACGAUCUAUGGAUGAAAGCGGGGGACCGUAAGGCCUCGCGCGAUUGGAGCGGCCGAUGUCAGAUUAGGUAGUUGGUGGGGUAAAGGCUCACCAAGCCAACGAUCUGUAGCUGGUCUGAGAGGACGACCAGCCACACUGGGACUGAGACACGGCCCAGACUCCUACGGGAGGCAGCAGUGGGGAAUUUUGGACAAUGGGCGCAAGCCUGAUCCAGCAAUGCCGCGUGCAGGAAGAAGGCCUUCGGUUGUAACUAGCUUUGUUACGGUAACG
rnacentral:rRNA from 1 species